UUUUUUUAACAAAUCCAGCAACUAGGGUUCCUUGUUAAAUAAGGAGAUAUCAUCCUCUGUCUUCUCUUCUUUCUGUGUUGGUAUUGUUGGUGACACAAUGGUUGAAAUUCUUUGUGAUAUUGUGAUUUGGGGAUUUUAAGGUUUUCGGUUGGGAUUGAGAGUUCUGAUUUAGAAAUUUCUUAUGUCUUGUUUCUCCUCUCCAGAUUGUUAAUGUGAUUUGGGGUUAGGGUUUUUGAAUUAGGGUUUGUAUUCUGAUUUCACAUUUUGGGAUUAUUUGUAAUUGUAUUCUAUCUUGCACUUUUGGAGUUUUUGGAAUAUGUGAUUUUGUGUUUUUGGAAUGUUCUAAUUGUAAUUUGUUUUAACCUUAACUUUAACUUUUCCACGUCAAUAACUUUAAGUUUUAACAUUUACAUAUCAAUUGACCUGAGUUUGCCACGUAAUGAAUAUCUGGACAGGUCAUUCACUGUUGACUAAAGUGGAUAUUACACUGUUAACGUUUUUAACACCCUUAACAAAAAGGACCCAAUUUAAACUAUCUUUACAAAACAUAGUAUCACAAAAUAUAUGAUCACUCUGAACAACUCAAAAAUAGAAGAAUCACUUUGAACAAAUGUAACAAAAUUAGAAACUAAAAUUGGUAUUAAGAAAAAAAAAAUCUACCUAUUAAUACAAACACUAAAAAGCUAAAUACUUUACAAGCAAUGUCAUAAAACAAUAAGGACAAAUUUUAAAAACAAAUAACAAGAAAAAUAAAGUUAAGAAAAGUUUCGAUAUAAAAUUACAUUUUGAAUUUUAAAAUAUAUUUUUAUUUAUAAAUAUUCAGUUGUCUCUUCAAAAUGUUCAUAUUAUAAUAAUUGUAGAAGGUGCCUUUAUGAGAUAGUAAGAAGGUAGAUGAUGAUGCAGAUUAGUCUGGCGUCUAUUGGGAAAUAUUUCGGGGUAAACUACAAAAAAAGUUACAAACUUUAACACGAAUCCAGGAUCCUCUAGCCAUAGGGUAGUAGAAAAUACAGCUAAAUUUUUCUUGGUAUCCAUUUUAGUAGCUACGAUUGGAUGAAUGAGGUAAGUAGUUUCUGCAGAGGAGGAGAAGAAGGUUGAAAGUAGAUACAGAAUGAUGCAUAACGGGAUUGAACUAUGCAGAUCUAGAAUCUGGUAGUAGUGGGACCCCAGCAAUUGAAUUCCAUGACUUUGUUCAUGGAGUCUUCUUUGGUUCUGUUGAUCUUAGUGGGAACCGAAGCAGAAGAUGCAGCAGAGGAGAAUUUCGUGGGUUUACCAUAGGAUCUGAUGUUGUUCUUGGCAUGUUGCUGCAAUGACCUGAGAGCAAAGUUCCAUCUGCAAACACCAAGUUGAUCUUUCAAGGCUUCCACUGCUCCAAUGCUUGAAGCCACCACCCAUGCUUUGGUUGAUGCACUCAUGGUGAUUCUUAAUUGGAAUGAGACAACCUGAAAUUGCUCUGGUUUGGUUUUUGUUUGUUGAACCUGGUAUGAGAAGAGAAGGAUCCUUAAAUAUAUCUAUGAAACCACAGGUGAAACCAAAACAAGGUGCGCUCCAAGUGUUUUGCACCAAGUCUUGGAAACUCGGUCAGUGAAUGUAUUUCGAUACCAAGUUUUGUACUGUAGUGAAUUUCACCCUAGGAUUCUUCACACCAACCAUUUCCUUUUUCUAUUAUUUAUUAAUCAGUUUCUCAUGUUAUUAUUACGGCUAUCUAAUUAAAAUUAUUAAUUAAU
rnacentral:sRNA from 1 species